UACGUAGGGAGCGAGCGUUAAUCGGAAUUACUGGGCGUAAAGCGUGCGCAGGCGGCUUUGCAAGACAGAUGUGAAAUCCCCGGGCUCAACCUGGGAACUGCAUUUGUGACUGCAAGGCUAGAGUACGGCAGAGGGGGAUGGAAUUCCGCGUGUAGCAGUGAAAUGCGUAGAUAUGCGGAGGAACACCAAUGGCGAAGGCAAUCCCCUGGGCCUGUACUGACGCUCAUGCACGAAAGCGUGGGGAGCAAACAGG
rnacentral:rRNA from 1 species